rnacentral:misc_RNA from 1 species
AAGACUAUAGACCUGCGGAGUACCUGCGGAGGGAUCAUUAUUGAAUAAGCUUGAUAGGUUUGUAGCUGGCGUGUUUUGCGCAUGUGCACAAUCUGUCUUGACUACCAUUCAUCCACUUGUGCACUCUUUGUAGUCUUAUUGGGAUAUGUGGGGUGACUAAACUCUCGGUCAACCGACUGGAUGUGACGACUGCCUUUGCAAAAGAGGCUUUUGUCUAUGGCCUUACUUUUCUCAAGGGGA